UGAGGAAUUUUCUGCAAUGGGCGAAAGCCUGACAGAGCAAUACCGCGUGAGGGACGAAGGCCUACGGGUUGUAAACCUCUUUUCUCAAGGAGGAAGAUCUGACGUUACUUGAGGAAUAAGCAUCGGCUAACCCUGUG
rnacentral:rRNA from 1 species